GACCCGAUGGCGAAAGGUAUCGCGUCCGCACCGCUUGAAUCGAAUAGACCAGCCAGAGUUGCUGCAGGAGGUCCUGGUUCGAAUCCAGGUCGGGUCA